CUCAGAUCACGUAAAUUUUUACAAGUCGAACAGACUAUAAAAUUAAGCUCCUGCACCUAAAGUAACAUUUAAUUCAACAUCGAGGUCGCAAACUCAAUUUAAAAUAAGAACUCUCAAAUUGCAUAUCGCUGUUAUCCCUAGAGUAACUUAAUCUUUUAUUUUUAAUUAAAAAGAUUUAUAUCUUCUUAAGGUCACCCCAACCAAAAACUCUCAAAUUUCAAGCUUCUAGGGUCUUCUCGUCCCAGAGGGUCAUAAAAGCAUUUUUACUUUUAAUUUGAUUUCAAAGAAUUUUUAUAAAACUAUCUGUGAGAAUAAUGCCCUUCAUUCCAGUCCCCAAUUAAAAAA
rnacentral:rRNA from 1 species